CACGUAUUUAGCCGUCACUUCUUCUGUUGGUACCGUCAUUUUUUCUUCCCAACUGAAAGCACUUUACAUUCCGAAAAACGUCAUCGUGCACACAGAAUUGCUGGAUCAGACUCUUGGUCCAUUGUCCAAUAUUCCCCACUGCUGCCUCCCGUAGGAGUAAGGGCCGUGUCUCAGUCCCCUUGUGGCCGUUCACCCUCUCAGGCCGGCUACCCAUCAUCGCCUUGGUGAGCCGUUACCUCUCCAACUAGCUAAUGGGACGCAAAGCUCUCUCACAGCGCGUAUAGCUUUCAUAAUUCUAAGAUGCCUUAAAAUCAUAAUAUCAGGUAUUAGCAUUCGUUUCCAAAUGUUGUCCCUAGCUGUGAGGCAAGUUCUUUACGCGUUACUCACCCGUCCGCCACCCAAAUCUAAGUUAAAAACCCAAUUCAAGUUGACUUGCAUGUGUUAAGCAUUCUGUCAGCGUUCAUCCUGAGCCAGGAUCAAACUCU
rnacentral:rRNA from 1 species